rnacentral:rRNA from 1 species
UGGGGAAUCUUGGACAAUGGGGGCAACCCUGAUCCAGCGACGCCGCGUGGGUGGUAAGGCCUUCGGGUUGUAAAGCCCUUUCACCGGGGAAGAUGAUGACAUUACCCGGAGAAGAAGCGCCGGCUAACUCCGUGCCAGCAGCCGCGGUAAGACGGAGGGCGCUAGCGUUGUUCGGAAUCACUGGGCGUAAAGGGCGCGUAGGCGGCUGUUUAAGUCGAGGGCGAAAGCCCGGGGCUCAACCCCGGAACGGCCUUCGAGACUGGGCAGGUCGAGAGCGGAAGAGGAGGGUGGAAUACCCAGUGUAGAGGUGAAAUUCGUAGAUAUUGGGUGGAACACCAGUGGCGAAAGCGGCUCUCUGGUCCGGAUCUGGCGCUGAGGGACGAAAGCGUGGGUAGCGAACGGGAUUAGAUACCCCGGUAGUCC